UACGGGGGGGGGCAAGCGUUGUUCGGAAUUACUGGGCGUAAAGGGCUCGUAGGCGGCCAACUAAGUCAGACGUGAAAUCCCUCGGCUUAACCGGGGAACUGCGUCUGAUACUGGAUGGCUUGAGUUCGGGAGAGGGAUGCGGAAUUCCAGGUGUAGCGGUGAAAUGCGUAGAUAUCUGGAGGAACACCGGUGGCGAAGGCGGCAUCCUGGACCAACACUGACGCUGAGGAGCGAAAGCGUGGGGAGCGAACAGG
rnacentral:rRNA from 1 species